rnacentral:tRNA from 1 species
GUUAUUUUGGCAGAAUAGUGCAAUUGAUUUAGGAUCUUUAAAUGUAAUCAUAUUACAAGUAACA